rnacentral:rRNA from 1 species
UACGGAGGGUGCGAGCGUUGUCCGGAAUCACUGGGCGUAAAGAGCUCGUAGGCGGCUCGGUAAGUCGGGUGUGAAACCUCCAGGCUCAACCUGGAGACGCCACCUGAUACUGCUGUGGCUAGAGUCCGGUAGGGGAGUGUGGAACUCCUGGUGUAACGGUGAAAUGCGCAGAUAUCAGGAAGAACACCAGCGGCGAAGGCGGCACUCUGGGCCGGAACUGACGCUGAGGAGCGAAAGCGUGGGUAGCAAACAGG